rnacentral:lncRNA from 1 species
GAUGGACAGGGUCAUCAAAGUGACCAACAUGGAUUUGACCAAACUCUGGGAGGCAGUGGAAGACAGGAGGGCCUAGCGUGCUCAGGUCCAUGGGGUCACGAAGAGUCGGACACGACUUAACGACUAAACAACAACAGCUUCCUAUCAAUAGUCAAAAAUCAGACUGGAGAAGGUCAAGAAGAGAAUUACAACAUGAAAAUUGGAGAUACCGGGCUAAUACAAGAUCCUUAAAGAGCUUACAUGCUAAUGGAAGUAGAGAAACUAACAGUAGAAGAAGAUAUGGGAUGGUGUAUCAAAUUCUAAUGGACAGUCACAGUAACAUGGGUCCUGGGGUAUCUUGAGAAAUCGUCCCCUGAUCUGAGCUGUUAGAAGCACAUUCAAGUGAGUGAUUAUAUAUGCCUUAGUUUUGGAACUGUCAAUGUAUUAUGAUAAAGAGGCAGAUCAAAUUGGGUGAAUAUUUAAUUCCCAGGUGGAGUGGGGAGAAUUUCCAUUUAGCAUCCUCUUUAAGGGCAUUUCACUCUUGUUUAAUCAGUUUUUUCCAUAAGUAGUCUUCGCCUUUCCUUGUUUAGGUUUUCUAUUUUCCAUAAGCCCAGUUUGCUUGCUUUCACAUCUAGAGCAUUGUUCCAUUUUGACCAGCAGCACUCUUGUGCUGUGGAUCUUUGACAUUUAGUAGUCAAUACUUGUAGCUGAUUGUGGCCAUCCAGAUCAAGGUUAAAAUCUUUGAGAGUACCAACUGAAUCUAUAUCACUGCAGAAGCAAUACACUGUGGGAAGGUUAAUAUUGUGCAAAGAAAGGCUAACUGGAAUUUCUCAAUUUGUUCUGUUAGACCCAAAAACCAGACCUGGAAGAGAGGCACCUGGUUGGACACUGUGAGGAAAGAAUUCAGAUCUAGAUGAGACUUUAAUCUUACUCAACUUGGUCAUUUUAUAUUCUUACCCAGACUAAUAAAGACCAUAUCAGAGGAAACA